CCACCGACAGGAGGCGCUCCUCCUGUCAAGCCACAGCUUAAACUGCAGCAUAUCAUGAGUGAUGAGAUCUGUGUACAGGUGACUGACCUUUACCUGGCAGAAAAUAAUAAUGGGGCCACCGGAGGCCAGCCGAACACACAGAACUCAAGAAGCCUCCUGGAGUCAACGUAUCCACAGAAAGCCAAGCAGCUAAUGUCAGAUGAGAAAUGCUUUAAGGUG
rnacentral:lncRNA from 1 species